CGCCACCAAUGCCGUGAUGCCAAUGCAACUAAAACGUCACGACACGAGGCGCGCGAUCUGUGUGGAAAACAUUGAAGCUCGUGUGAGAGGAAUUUCGGCACUCCGCGUGCACGAUUGCGACUUUCCAAACAUCAACACGGCCAAGUGUCACUCUGUACGCCGAGUACGCCAUCAGAGUGAGAAACGCGAAUACGAAUAUAUCGCCUGCGAUUUUUAUGGAGAGAAUUCGAGUGGAUACGGCGGUGAGACGAAUAUGUCGCGACACGAGGCGCGCGAUCUAUCCGGAAAACACUGAAGCUCGUGUGAAACGAAUUUCGAUACUCCGCGAUCUUCUAAAUAUCAACACAGCCGAGUGUCACUGCAUACAUGUCGAGGACGCCAUUAGAGUAAGAGACGCGGGGGUGAACACAACAGAAGACGUACGAUUUUUGGGAGAAUUGCAGUACAUGCAACAGGAAUUUCGGUACUUCGUGUACACGCUCGUCUUGCUGGCAUCGUUGUGAACAGCCAGAAGUAUCCACAAGUGCGAAAGGUAACUGUCACGCCCCGUUUGUAUCGCAAUUGAAGGAGACACGCAUUUGAAAUCUCGGAUAUUGCGGAUUGUAACGUCAUUAGAGUGAAAGACUCGAGGACGAACACAUCGUGACACGAGACACACGAUUUUUGGAAGAAUUGCAGUACAUGCGAUAGGAAUUUCGAUACUCCACGUACACGCUCGUCUUGCUAACAUCGUUAUGAGCAGCCAGGAACAUCCUGAAGUGCGGAAGCAGAAUUUAAGGCUCAUGACAUCAGACACAACCGCUGUUUCGACGAAUGCAGUUCUGCGUUAACAAAGAAGUCUACUUCACGUCUCAAGGUAUGCUAACGGAAUUUGUGGAUGAUCACAUCGGAUGCAGAUGCAGUUUCAACGAAUGCAAAUCGAAGUAAUCGAC